CUAAUUUGUCACUAUUCAGUCAGUAGGACACAUCAUUUUGUUACGCUUGCCAUAUGUUUGAAGUACACAAUCCUACAUUUUUUGUGCACUUUUAGUUAUUAAUAGCAAAAUUAAUUGUCACUUGUGAGUGUGUGUUCACCCUCCAACACCCUAAUAAUGUCCCUAAAGUUUCUAAAUGCUUGCACUGCAGACACAUACAGCACUUAGAAGAACAUUAGCACUGAGAGAUAUCCAGAUCGUGUGUACUUUGAGGGUCUUCUGUCAUUGCAGUUCAUUAUAUUCUCUCUUUGUGAAGAUAAAAAGAUCUUGCAACACAAACUGAUAAUGUAACUACAUUUUUAUUAUUGCAAAAAAAAAAAAACAACUGCUCACUGUGAUCUUACCAGCAGUGAAGUUCUUAACACCCACCAUGUCUCAGAGGAUUUAAAUUCCCUGUCUUAACCAGAGGAGGGCAGUAUUUGUAAAUAGUUAACACUGCAGUGUAUCUUCAAUGCUCAACUAGGGGUGUGUAGCACGAGCUAUCUGUUACACCUUAGACUAAGAGUUUUUAUGCUAAUUUUUUGAGUUGGCACCAAAUAAAAUAAAACUAAGAAAAGGACCAUUGUGCAUUGCAUUUGGGUGGCUCAGAAUAUAUUGAGAAUAUUUAAAGAUUAUUAUGCAGUUCUGUGCUCGGUUUUGCUUUGCAUCAUGAAGAACACUUCAUUUUGGGAGCUCUAUAACUCCAGAAUGAGGCAUUAUGCUUUUAUCUAACAAUUUAUCAUUUGAAAAUAAAAAUAAAAAAUAUGUG